rnacentral:lncRNA from 1 species
UGUUAUCAAUAGAUGGUCAAGGUAUUGAUUAUCUGUUAUCAAUAGAUGGUCAAGGUAUUGAUUAUCUGUUAUCAAUAGAUGGUCAAGGUAUUGAUGAUCUGUUAUCAAUAGAUGGUCAAGGUAUUGAUUAUCUGUUAUCAAUAGAUGGUCAAGGUAUUGAUUAUCUGUUAUCAAUAGAUGGUCAAGGUAUUGAUUAUCUGUUAUCAAUAGAUGGUCAAGGUAUUGCCAACUGCCUGUCCAAAAGGCCACGGUCGGUAGUAGCAUAAAAACACAUGUGAAGGACUACAACCUGAGGAGACGAGGUUUGUCCUCACAGCUCCUACAGGCCCUGGUGUAUGAGGAUGCAAUGCAGGUGGACAGCACUGAUUGGUCCU